rnacentral:rRNA from 1 species
GUGGGGAAUAUUGGACAAUGGGCGAAAGCCUGAUCCAGCCAUGCCGCGUGUGUGAAGAAGGUCUUCGGAUUGUAAAGCACUUUAAGUUGGGAGGAAGGGCAGUAAGUUAAUACCUUGCUGUUUUGACGUUACCGACAGAAUAAGCACCGGCUAACUUCGUGCCAGCAGCCGCGGUAAAACGAAGGGUGCAAGCGUUAAUCGGACUUACUGGGCGUAAAGCGCGCGUAGGUGGUUUUGUAAUUUGGAGGUGAAAUCCCCGGGCUCAAACUGGGAACUGCCUCUAAAACGGCAUGACUAGGAGACGGGAGAGGGUAGUGGAAUUUCCUGUGUAGGAGUGAAAUGCGUAAAUAUAGGAAGGAACACCAGUGGCGAAGGCGACUACCUGGACUGAUACUGACACUGGGGUGCGAAAGCGUGGGGAGCAAACAGGAUUAGAAACCCGAGUAGUCC